rnacentral:lncRNA from 1 species
UAUUAGUUGCGAAUUAGUACGUGAGUUUUGUGUAAUUGUAUAGAUUCGUAUCACAUGCUAGUAGCGUUCAGCACAAGUUAAGAGAUGAUAAAUUUAUUCGACAUUUUAAAUUGUGUUUAUCAAUCGAUUGAAGCUUUCUAUGUAAUAUAAGAAUUCCCUUAUUGCUUACGUAAUAACAUUUUAUAAACUUUAAUUCUACAAGUUUAGAUUU